CCCUUAGAUGUUCUGGGCUGCACGCGCGCUACACUGACGCACGCAACAGGUGCCUACUCCGAGAGGACUGGGUAAUCAUUUGAGUGUGCGUCGUGAUGGGGAUAGAAUAUUGUAAUUAUUACUCUUCAACGAGGAAUUCCUAGUAAGCGCCAGUCAGCAGCUUGCGCUGAUUACGUCCCUGCCCUUUGUACACACCGCCCGUCGCUCCUACCGAUGGGUGAUCCGGUGAAUGAUUCGGACUUCAGCGGCUCCCCUGGGGUGCGCCGGAGAAAGUUUUGUGAACCUUAUCACUUGGAGGAAGGAGAAGUCGUAACA
rnacentral:rRNA from 1 species